rnacentral:rRNA from 1 species
CCUACGGGAGGCAGCAGUGGGGGAUAUUGCACAAUGGGGGGAACCCUGAUGCAGCGACGCCGCGUGGGUGAAGGAGUGCUUCGGCAUGUAAAGCCCUAUCGGCAGGGAAGAAGCAAGACGGUACCUGACUAAGAAGCCCCGGCUAACUACGUGCCAGCAGCCGCGGUAAUACGUAGGGGGCGAGCGUUAUCCGGAUGCACUGGGUGGAAAGGGAGCGUAGACGGCCAAGCAAGCCAGGGGUGAAAGCCCGGGGCCCAACCCCGGGACUGCCCUUGGAACUGCAUGGCUGGAGUGCGGGAGGGGCAGGCGGAAUUCCUGGUGUAGCGGUGAAAUGCGUAGAUAUCAGGAGGAACACCGGCGGCGAAGGCGGCCUGCUGGACCGCGACUGACGUUGAGGCUCGAAAGCGUGGGGAGCGAACAGGAUUAGAUACCCCUGUAGUC